GUCCUUAAAGUUGAUGGAGAGAAAGCUGCUGUGUACAGGGAGGACCAAACAGUUAGCAGAUUAAGUCAUCCUGAGCUGGUUUUCUUAGGUCCAAUGCACCCAAGGGCUCUCACUACUCUUGAAUCGGCCGGCAAAUAUUCUGACGGAGCAUUCCUUUUCAAGGUGGUGAUGAGGCCAUCUCAUGUUAAGUAUGGCUUGGGAAUACCAAAGAGGUUCAAGAAAAUGCUUUUGAGAGAAUGGUGCAAUUAUUUGGCUUGUGGAAUUGGAAAAAUGUGAUGAGAUGAUUUGGCUAGCAAAGGGUUGGAACGAAUUAGCGGAGCAUCACUCUAUCUGUGAGGGUCAAUUUUUGAUCUUCUAAUCUGAAGGGGACUCCAUUUUCCAUGUCACCAUAAUUGAUGAAAGGAUGUCCGAGAUAGAAUAUCCGCCAAUCAAUGUCGAUGUGAGGAACUGAGCCUCAGCAAUUGUAGAAUUGCCUUGCUGAAAGUGGAAGGUGCUUUUGAUUGCCGUGAUGUUUCAGUCAAGCUUGAAGUCUGAGGGGAUGAAUUGCAUUCAGCCAAGUGUCCUCGGUUUUGUAUGGAAAAGGAAUUUAAUCAGGUUUGCGAAGUUCAUGGCAGCUCUUACGCACAUUCAUAAGCAAAGUUUGCAGAGGCAUAGAAGUUUGAACUGCUCAUCACAAGAUUUUCAAGGUAAGCUGAGAGAGCCGGGCUUGUGAAGAGCUUGAGCCAGCCAGCAAAUUUAUACUUGAUUAUCCUUUCUUCCAUAUUGCAGUGAGGUGAACAUAUCUGAAGAAAAGCAAUAUAAGAGUUAUCGGUUCAUUCCCGAAGAAGCACAUUAAGAAAAGCCCGCACACCGUGGCUCUCAUAUUUCCACACAAAGCAUGGCUGUUGAAGCUCAUCAGCCAUGAAAAUUAUGGAAAGUCAUCUGCUGGUUGGACCGCAUUCACGAGAGAAACUUCUUUGAAGAGUAUUCUGGAUGGAUUCAUUAAGCAACAUAUUUAGGAGAAGCAAAGAGCAACUCUUAGGCAUUCCAACAAUGAAGUUCAUUGGGAGCCAUAGACU